GGAGGUGCAUAUAGAUCGCCCUAAAAAUAUUUUAUUUUUCACUUUCACUGAAGAGUUGGAGAAAAGCCAGAGGGAAAGAAACUGGAAAAAAAGUUGGAGGUGUUGUGGAACAACUGAGACGCUUCAGCGCCAAUUACUAGUACAAGUUUUGUCUGUGUUCUCUCCGGUGACUGACAUAAACAAAGUUCUUCAGGAAUAAAUGCCCUUCGACACGAUAUCUCUUAAAUGUCCCUGUGGAUACAUAAGACAUGACGUUCAAUGCUUGGGUGAGUGGAACGACACCAAUCAGGGAAUCCUCAAGUAUUGUGGCGGGCUCUUCAUUCAAGACGCAAGCGGCGAGGCUGUCAUCUGCCGUAAGUGUAAACACGAAACACGUGAAAUCAGGCUUAGCUGUCCCUUCUGCUACAGAAUAACCAAUAUUGGUGUAGCGUAUCGGGUGAAGGCGAACACAGGACGGGCUGUGUCCAUGCAGAUGUCAGUACAUAAAACAAUGCUAUUCUUUAACUAAGUUGGAACAUUCAGUUGAACUUCUUACAGUGUUCAGACUUCGAAUAUACCUACAGUGUCUAUCUUUUUACCAAUAGCUCUGGGACUGCGAUUGCAAAUUCUUCAAAACAACGUAAAA